ACAGCUCUUGAAAAUACAUGUACACUACCGAAAUAUCAUUCGCGUUAGUUUAUUAACAGUCCAGGAACCAGCAAAUUUUAAACAGAGGUGGUUGCUGGAGACCUCAAACCAGGCCACGUCACAUAGCAGUUUUAAGUUUGACAGGUGGAACUGAAAACAAUCAUAAAACGAAUAGAAAAUGAUGCAGAAGAAAAGCUGACGACGGCCUGGUAGUAGCAUGUUUCACGGAAGCAGAUGGCGUCACCGGUUAUAACCAGUAUCGAGUCAAAGACAGAUCUAUUAGGAAAGGACUAGCAACGCGUACCAAUUCCCACUGAAUGGUGCAAAUACAACAUGUUUUUAGAACGGCAGAGGUAACAUGGUGCCUGAUCCAACUGCAGACAGUACUGAUCUAUGCCUUCAAACUUAGAUUGACAGAUGAAAAUUCUAGUGACGUUAAACUACUCGCACGUACCGAGGAGAGCAUG
rnacentral:lncRNA from 1 species